rnacentral:rRNA from 1 species
GAUGAACGCUGGCGGCGUGCCUAAUACAUGCAAGUCGAGCGAACGGAAGAGAAGCUUGCUUUUCUGAUGUUAGCGGCGGACGGGUGAGUAACACGUGGAUAACCUACCUAUAAGACUGGGAUAACUUCGGGAAACCGGAGCUAAUACCGGAUAAUAUUUUGAACCGCAUGGUUCAAAAGUGAAAGACGGUCUUGCUGUCACUUAUAGAUGGAUCCGCGCUGCAUUAGCUAGUUGGUAAGGUAACGGCUUACCAAGGCAACGAUGCAUAGCCGACCUGAGAGGGUGAUCGGCCACACUGGAACUGAGACACGGUCCAGACUCCUACGGGAGGCAGCAGUAGGGAAUCUUCCGCAAUGGGCGAAAGCCUGACGGAGCAACGCCGCGUGAGUGAUGAAGGUCUUCGGAUCGUAAAACUCUGUUAUUAGGGAAGAACAUAUGUGUAAGUAACUGUGCACAUCUUGACGGUACCUAAUCAGAAAGCCACGGCUAACUACGUG